GCAAUGCUGACUGUUCUGGUUCUGGGAUGGACUACAUUACUUGGGUUCCCAUCUGCAGCAUCCAGAGUUCCUUUGAGCAGAGGCAGCAAGUGGUUGGCUCGGAAAUGUGAAGUCUUCAUCCCUCCUCCUCUACCUCCUCCUAUGUUUCCUCCAAUCAAACAUAAAGCAGAGCUGAUGGUUGAUAUCACCAAACGCAUCACAGGACCCACUGGGGAGAAGG